CACGUAGGGCGCGAGCGUUGUCCGGAAUUAUUGGGCGUAAAGAGCUCGUAGGCGGCCUGUUGCGUCCGCUGUGAAAGCCCGGGGCUUAACCCCGGGUCGGCAGUGGAUACGGGCAGGCUAGAGGUAGGUAGGGGAGAAUGGAAUUCCCGGUGUAGCGGUGAAAUGCGCAGAUAUCGGGAGGAACACCGGUGGCGAAGGCGGUUCUCUGGGCCUUACCUGGCGCUGAGGAGCGAAAGCGUGGGGAGCGAACAGG
rnacentral:rRNA from 1 species